rnacentral:rRNA from 1 species
AGAUUGAACGCUAGCGGGAUGCUUUACACAUGCAAGUCGAACGGCAGCGCGGACUUCGGUCUGGCGGCGAGUGGCGAACGGGUGAGUAAUAUAUCGGAACGUGCCCAGUAGCGGGGGAUAACUACGCGAAAGCGUGGCUAAUACCGCAUACGCCCUACGGGGGGAAACGGGGGGGAUUCUUCGGAACCUCUCACUAUUGGAGCGCCGAUAUCAGAUUAGCUAGUUGGUGAGGUAAAGCUCACAAGGCGACGACUCUGUAGCUGGUUGAGAGGACGACCAGCCACGACUAGGGACUGAGACACGGCCCAGACUCCUACGGGAGGCAGCAGUGGGGAAUUUGGACAAUGGGGAAACCCUGAUCCCGAGCCAGUCCCACGUG